AUUGAACGCUGGCGGCAGGCCUAACACAUGCAAGUCGAGCGAGCGGCGGACGGGUGAGUAAUGUCUGGGAAACUGCCUGAUGGAGGGGGAUAACUACUGGAAACGGUAGCUAAUACCGCAUACCAUCAGAUGUGCCCAGAUGGGAUUAGCUAGUAGGUGGGGUAAUGGCUCACCUAGGCGACGAUCCCUAGCUGGUCUGAGAGGAUGACCGGCCACACGUGAACUAGGACACGGCCCAGACUCCUACGGGAGGCAGCAGUGGGGAAUAUUGGCCAAUGGGCGCAAGCCGGAUGCAGCCAUGCCGCGUGUAUGAAGAAGGCCUCAGGGUUGUAAAGUACUUUCAGCGGGGAGGCGUUACCCGCAGAAGAAGCACCGGCUAACUCCGUGCCAGCAGCCGCGGUAAUUC
rnacentral:rRNA from 1 species